CACGUAGGCACCAAGCGUUGUCCGGAUUUAUUGGGCGUAAAGAGCUCGUAGGCGGUUCGGUAAGUCGGGUGUGAAAACUCUGGGCUCAACCCAGAGCCGCCACCCGAUACUGCUGUGACUCGAGUGCGGUAGAGGAGUGUGGAAUUCCUGGUGGAGCGGUGAAAUGCGCAGAGAUCAGGAGGAACACCCGUAGCGAAGGCGGCACUCUGGGCCGAUACUGACACUGAGGAGCGAAAGCGUGGGGAGCGAACAGG
rnacentral:rRNA from 1 species